CUAAGAAAUUCUCUGUGCGAACUAUUUUUAUCAAGCGCAUGUACUUCCGGUCUCGUAUCAAGGGGCAUAACUAUAACCGAUGUUCACAAACCGAAAGUACCCAACCUGGCAAUCGGGAUGAGGUCAUAGCGCUACGUAUCGUUUACUGUUCUCCACGUCGAUUGAAUAUAAUGAUUAUGCUCCAUUUUUAGUAUACAAAGAGGGAAACCAUAACAAGUUAUUCAUGAAGAUAUGGCAUUAAAGUUCCUGUCGAAGCAGCUGCAGAGAGUGUUUGAAGAGCUGCCUCAGCAGCCUGGCUUCUCAGCAGGCCCUCUCGAAGACGAUAGUAAGUUCAUUUCAUAAAGUAUAUUUGACUUUAAGUUUAAUGCAUUCAUUGAAGUGUGCCGAGGGUGUUACAAAUACUAGGGUUUGGCUUAUCUUUAUGCUGUAUUCUGUAAUCUUCCAAGAAAAGUAACUGUAUAAUGUCAGAACAAAAAUGCCAGCAUAGUGGCUAAAAUCUAUGGUACAUUAAUUGAACUGAACUGGUAUUGAGUUUUUUAGUUCAUGAAACAAUUUUGUGUCAUUUGAACCUGAAUCCAGUAAAAUGGAUAAUGUCGGAUAUAUACGGAAGCCUGUAUGGGGCACCCUGAUGAUGGGAUGAUGUCGUACC